UCUCCUAUCCUUUAGUAAUUGUUUUAAAUUUUGUCUUUGGUACUGGGGAUCAAACUCGGGACCUUGCACUUCCUAGACAGGUGCUUAUGCUGCUGAGCUAUCUCCCUGGCCUAUAAUUUGUUUUAUUAAGCCAAUCAUGGCACUGAUGAUAAUCAAGUCUUUUAAUAGACACAUAAUCCUUAAGAGAAGCAUGUUAAGGACUGUACAUUUAUUACUUUUCCUAAUUUAUUUCAUCAGUGACAAGCAUUUUUUAUAUGUAACACAGGUGAUUGAGGACUGUCUUACAGAAUUUUAAAAUUCAGCAAACAGCUAAUUGUGAUGAAGAGAAAUACUACAGAGCAAUGGUGGCAAACGUACAGCACCACACCAGCCACACAGAACCCUCUGUCGGCACGAGCCAAGUUGCUGUAGCAGCCAGGCAUCACCUAACAGCUGUUCCAUCUAAACUACAACCUCGGUAUUUAGGUGUAAUUAUACUUUGAAGUAAAUAAAUGGACUUGAGGUUGCCAUUUGGGGACUCGGUCUCUAAAAGCUUCACAGUCAUUACUGUAGAGCCAAUAUUCAUUCCUUACAUUCAGUAAAGCUUGGCUAGGAAUUCCAUUAAGCUUGACUAGGAAUAUUACCUCUAAUCUUACUUAUGACCUCUUGGUCAGCGUCAGGGCAUUUCUAAAAUAUAGAUCUUGUACUGUACAAGUUAACACUCCUUCAGUAUCUGUCAUCUAUAGGGAAAUGAUCGAACAAGUUUUCACGAACUGUCCCCACUGUAUCUUAUUAAGUAGUGCUUUAUAGUCAUCCUGGGAUCCACCCUCUCUUAGAAAACACAUGCUCUUGUACCUCCAUGUCUUCUUACAUAGCUCCAUUUACCUUCCUCCCACCCAAAACCAGAACCCUCAGCCAAAACAUUGCUUCUCUGUGUAGAUGACUGUAUUUGUCACUUUCCUGUUGCUGUAGGAGUUUUUGACUCAUAGUUUCAGAGGAAUCAAUCCAUGGUCAGCUUGUACACAACAGAAACAGCAUGGUGGAAGGGCUGAAGAGAGGACAGCUCAUCCCAUGGCAUCCAGGUAGCAGUAAGAAGCAGAGGAUGAGGAUAAACCCUUCUAGGUCAGGCCUUCACCUCCUAACAGUACAUAUUAAAUCAAGUACUAAACUUGAUGAUUGAAUCCACUGAUGAGUAUAAUGUCCCUAAUGACUGACUGCAUCACCUUCCAAACAUGAGAGUAAUGGAGGCAUUUUAGACCUAAACUACAAUACUGGUAUUCUUAAUAUUUGUCACUCACCCUACACCCCCUCCAAGGCCCUUGUAGCUCUGUGUGUGUGUGUGUGUAUGUGUGUGUGUGUGUGUGUAUUAGUCAGUGCUUACUAGAGUCAGAUGUAGAAGAGUACAGAUGUCUGUCUGUGUGCUGGAGACCUGAAGAAUUCAGUCAAGGGCUUGGAGCCCAUGGCAAUGUCCCAUCUAGUCUGCAUCAAGGAUUUGUACCCAUCAGCCCCAUGGGCCAGUGGUGGAAGCUGGAAAGCCUGUGCUGGCAGUGUGAAGGAUCUGUGCCAGAAGGCCAAGAGAUCUGAGCUCAAAGCCAAGAGACAAUGUCCAAGAAAAAGACAAGGAUUGAUGUUCUCCUGAAGGAAGACAGCAGUGAAAACUCCUUUGAAGAAAAACCACAGAAAAGAAGCUUCUUCAGGAAAAUUGGCAGCAUGCAAUCUUGGUCUCCUGUUCUUUUAUGCAAUUCUGGCAACAAUCCUUAGUUUCCUCUGUCAUCUCUAAACUUAAGUGCCUUUGAAGCUAUGAUAUGGAAGAAAGCAAGACCUGAACACCUGCCUGAUUUCCCCCUCUACAUUCUCACUUGCCAUGUGAUCUGCAGAACAUUAGGACAGUUAAGGUCAGUAGCUGUCCUUGUAGACAAUGGAGUAUUUCUAUGACUAUACCUGAAAUAUCUCAAUUUAGUAUUCUGUGAAAUAACAAUAAUGCUAAAAAGGAAAUUUAGUACUUUCAAAACAAUGUAAUACUUUUAAAAUUGGUCUACUUGUUCAUUACAAUGAUUAAAUUUAGAGCACACAAAAGGUAUUGAUAAAAAUAGACUAUAAAACAUUAAAUGUGAAUCCGUAAGUCCCUCAGAUAUUUUAGACAGAGGUAGAAAAAUGGGGGGGGGGAGAUAUUUGCUUUAUAAAAACUUGUUAGCCAAUUGUGGGGAGCCAAGAUUGUUGCAAAGCCCAGGGCCUCUGGGGAUGUCUAAGGACAUGACCCCACUGUCUGAUACAUACAGUAUGAUACAUUUAUGUAAGCAUGAUUUAACAAAUAGCUGUGCAUGCACUAGACAGUUCCCACAGAACAGAGAAUGCAAGCCUGAUAACAGCUACUCUAUCUUGAGUCGAACAAUAAAAAUGCUAUUUGUUGCCGCUAUCUGUGCUGUGUUUUCUUUGGGGACCUCACCUACAACAAUACCUCUUCAGCCCCCUAACCCCAAUACUAAUACAAAAUAGAAGAAAUAAUGAAAUAUGAUUUUGCAGAACUCUCUCGACCCUAAGACCCUAAGUGAUUCAGGCUAAUUUUUCAGGGAUACUAAAAACAUUUCAGUGAAAGUUCUAGGGGAACAGGAUAUACC